AUGACCUUGCAUCCGCAGCCUGGUGAGUCAGCUGGCAGCAGGAUCACUGACUCUGGAAUGUGGCAGAGGGGAAGGAAAGCAAAAAUAUCUCGGCACAGAAAGAUGUUCCAGAUGAAUGAAGCAUAUCAAGGUGUCCUUUGUAGAAAAAAUUCCUGCAGCAACUCAGUAAACUCGCCAUCACUUGUCAGGAAGUGGUGCUGAGUUGGCAGCAGUAUAUACCAUCCCAGAGGAGGCUGUAAAGUAAGUGUUAAAAAUGUUUAGUCCUGUCUAUAAAAAUUAGUUCUACUGAACUCUAAAAAAGUAGUAAUGGAA
rnacentral:lncRNA from 1 species